GUGGGGAAUAUUGCACAAUGGGCGCAAGCCUGAUGCAGCAACGCCGCGUGAGGGACGACGGCCUUCGGGUUGUAAACCUCUUUUAGCAGGGAAGAAGAGAAAGUGACGGUACCUGCAGAAAAAGCACCGGCUAACUACGUGCCAGCAGCCGCGGUAAUACGUAGGGUGCAAGCGUUGUCCGGAAUUAUUGGGCGUAAAGAGCUCGUAGGCGGUUUGUCGCCUCUGCUGUGAAAACCCGAGGCUCAACCUCGGGCCUGCAGUGGGUACGGGCAGACUAGAGGGGGGUAGGGGAGAUUGGAAUUCCUGGUUUAGCGGUGGAAUGCGCAGAUAUCAGGAGGAACACCGAUGGCGAAGGCAGAUCUCUGGGCCGUAACGGACGCUGAGGAGCGAAAGCGUGGGGAGCGAACAGGAUUAGAUACCCCUGUAGUCC
rnacentral:rRNA from 1 species